CCUACGGGUGGCAGCAGUGGGGAAUAUUGGACAAUGGGCGAAAGCCUGAUUCAGCCAUGCCGCGUGUGUGAAGAAGGCCUUCGGGUUGUAAAGCACUUUCAGUGGGGAAGAAAGCCUUGGGGCUAAUACCCUCGAGGAAGGACAUCACCCACAGAAGAAGCACCGGCUAACUCCGUGCCAGCAGCCGCGGUAAUACGGAGGGUGCGAGCGUUAAUCGGAAUUACUGGGCGUAAAGCGCGCGUAGGCGGUCUGAUAAGCCGGUUGUGAAAGCCCCGGGCUCAACCUGGGAACGGCAUCCGGAACUGUCAGGCUAGAGUGCAGGAGAGGAAGGUAGAAUUCCCGGUGUAGCGGUGAAAUGCAUAGAGAUCGGGAGGAAUACCAGUGGCGAAGGCGGCCUUCUGGACUGACACUGACGCUGAGGUGCGAAAGCGUGGGUAGCAAACAGGAUUAGAUACCCCAGUAGUC
rnacentral:rRNA from 1 species